rnacentral:rRNA from 1 species
AUUGAACGCUGGCGGCAGGCCUAACACAUGCAAGUCGAGCGGAUGAAGGGAGCUUGCUCCUGGAUUCAGCAGCGGACGGGUGAGUAAUGCCUAGGAAUCUGCCUGGUAGUGGGGGAUAACGUCCGGAAACGGGCGCUAAUACCGCAUACGUCCUGUGGGAGACAGUGGGGGGUCUUCGGACCUCACGCUAUCAGAUGAGCCUAGAUCGGAUUAUCUAGUUGGUGGGGUAAAGGCCUACCAAGGCGACGAUCCCUAACUGGUCUCAGAGGAUGAUCAGUAACACGGGAGAUGAGAUACGGAGCAGAAUCCUAAGUGAGGCAGGAGUGGGGAAUAUUGGGCAGGGGGCGAAAGCCUGAUCUAGCCAUUCCGCGAGUGUGAAGAAGGUCUUCGGAGUGUAAAGGACUUUAAGUUGGGAGGAAGGGCAGUAAGUUAAUACCUAGCUGUUUUGACGUUACCAACAGAAUAAGCACCGGCUAACUUCGU